AUUGCCUGUUGGCCUUUUGGUUAACAACAAGUGGCACCUGUUCUAUUCAGUUUAAUAUCUGCAACUUCCUCUAUUAGAGGACAAUAUAUUAAAUCAAUUUUUGGAGCAGGGAGAUGAAAUGGGGAGCUUUCAUCAUCCAAUCCACGCAUUGACCUGGUAUUACAACACCUCCAGGAGUGUUGCACCCCCU
ensembl:snRNA U2 U2 spliceosomal RNA